UCCACACAACCGAGAGGAGCGCAUGCGUGAUGCCAUCCCCCAGCGCUGCCAUUGAGGGCCGUCAUUGAGUGGAAGAGAUUUGUUUGAAACAGGCCGCAAUGGAGAGACCAGCGCCCAGGGAAGCGAGGGAACAGCAGGCUCCUUCCAGCAGCGCAUCGAGAUGAGAUGUGGCUUCUGCCUUCCUCCGGGCAAAUACUUGAAGGACCAGGAUGAUGUUGUAUUUGAGAUAAUGGGAACUGCAGAUGCUGGAGAAUUCCAAGAUAAUAAAAUGUGAGGCUGGAUGAACACAGCAGGCCAAGCAGCAUCUCAGGAGCACAAAAGCUGACGUUUCGAGCGUAGACCCUUCAUCAAAGAGGAUGUUGUAUUUCCUCGGUACAAAGCCAAGUCUGACCAGUUGCUUCUAACAAUCAGCAGGCCAAUACUUGAAGGACCAGGACAAUUUAGUGUUUCCUCAGUACAAAGCCAAUUGUGACCAGCAUCUUACAACAACCACCAGGGUGUGGCCAGCUCUGCCAAGGUGGCAAGGGGAUGCCAAUCUCAAAAUGUCCUUGAAUAGAUCAACAUGCUCGACCUGAAGGUAAUGAGGAGUUUGCAAAGGGUUAAGAGUCACGUGCAGAGCAGAUCAGAUUUUGAAAUGUGCCAUUCUUGCCGUCUACUCCUGAUUGAUGCGAGACGAAAAACUUCAAACAGAAUCUGUUCGUUUUCCAGGUGCAGUCCUGCCAAGUGAAUAUCAUCAAAGAUUCCCAGCUUCCCAAAGUGGAUUUGAACCCGGGUCCCCAGAACAUCACUGGAACAUCUGGAUUAACAGUUCCGCGAUAAUCCCAUGAGGCCAUCGCUUCCCCAUUCAAAGGUCAAGCCUGCCACUCUGGAGGUGUGUGAUCCCCCAUCCUGACAAUGUGGCGUUUCCAAAAUACCUGCAGCGGAGAGAAACCCCCACGUUCCCGUUCCCACAAUGGGUUCUGGAAUCUCAGAAAACCGAGUUGAAGUGUCCAGCAGGGAUUUCGGAUCAUUGGGAGAUCUAGUCUUCUCCGUACAGACUCCAUUUCAGCCAUGCCUUUUCUAUCCAGUUUGUUCAGUGGCUUGCAGCUCAGUGUGUGUUCCUUCUGUGGGGCCAGAAGUUGCUCGGUCCAACCCCACACCCCAGGUCUCUUUCGCCCUGGAAUGUAACCAUUGAAAUUGGCUGGUUUCUGUUUUUGUUUAUAUCUCCCAACUGUCAGAUCCUUCUGACUAUUCCUGUUCAAAGUUGGUCUGUUCCAUGCGCAGAAGGUGGCAGACGAUGUCUUCCUCCCCUUAAACAUGGACCAACUGAAAAGCUCAAUCCUCAGACAUGUACAUGAGAGAGAAGGAGGGACAGGUAUUAAAUUUCCAAAGACCACCAGCUGCUAAAAUAGUUUUGAUUUUACAAAACUAACGGCCUGCAAUGUCCAGAACAGACCAACAGAUGCAACAACAUGAAAUUAGCUUCCCCGGCUGAAAAUGAGUGGAGUCAAACAACGUGUGAAACAUGGUUUCCAUCGCAAAGUUCACAAGUUUGGGAUCUGUACACAGGAGUUACAUUGUACCUCUUCACCAGACAGUCUAUAAAAAUCGAAUGACCCACCUCUCAUCUGUCUUCUUCUUUCUUACUUGUGUGGAAUAUUCUCGUAAACAUUUCCACCCGCUCUGUCUUCUUCCUCUGAGAGCUCGCUGA